GCCAGGCGUGGUGGCUCACGCCUGUAAUCCCAGCACUUUGGGAGGCUGAGGUGGGUGGAUCACCUGAGGUCAGGAGUUCGAGACCAGCCUGGCCAACAUGGUGAAACCCCAUCUCUA
rnacentral:SRP_RNA from 1 species